GGGGCGACAUCAUCACGAAGCCCAGGAUGAUGAGGGCGGAGCAGCUGUUGUCGUCGAGGUAGCGGCAGACAGCUGCCGGGGCGUCGAGGACCUGGAAGGACAAAACGGAGAGUGGAGAAAGAGAAGUCCUGGACUUUAACAUACAGAAGAAGUCAUCACAACCUCGCUCCUCUGUUGACCCUUUAACAACAUUUUACCAGCGCUGCACUGGGAAGUAGCUCCUUAAUGAGCUCAGCAGGUGCACAGUUCCACCAGGUGCUUGCUAAUUCCUGCUGGCUAGUCUGAAGGAGUUGAGCAGAGUGAAUCAAGUCAACAUUCCAGGUAUCUUUUUGUUGAGAUAAUAACAUUAUAACAUGAUGUAAAGAUCAAAAAAUUAUUUUAUCUGAUACUCCCCCUCCAACAAACUAACUUUGGUCAACUUAAUUUGAUUAUUAGUGACCAAUUAACACAAUAUACUUAAGUUGGAUCACCUGUUCUCUUUUUACAGUGUACAGCAAACACACCCACACAGUGUUGUUCACCUACACUGAGAAAAGCAGGCAGGAGGCUCUGGUGGAGCUGCAGAGACCUCAAUAAAACUGUUUAUUUUUUAUCCUAAUUGUUAAACUUCUAACAAAGAUCAUGUUGUAGAUCCUACAAGCAUUUACUUUAAAACUUUUAACAAUAAAUCUAAAACUUUCUGUUCUUAAGUUGCAUUUUGAGACUGUCUCAGGAAAACAGUCUUCAGCUGUAGCUAAAAUAAAAAAAUAUUAACUCAGGAAAGGCAGAAUAAACUUAUUUUUAAAUAUUUUGUGCUGCUUUGUGUUGGUAGAGCCAUAAAAUCCUACCAGCAUAAAUUGAAGUUUGUGAUGUUUUUUUUUUUUUGCACGUUUGUUGCUCGUGCUUAAAUCCAGAAAGUCUCUUUAAUGGUUUCCCUCAUGCUGGAUGUGUCAUCAGGUUCAUAUUUCUGCCAAAAACCCUGACGGCUGGUCGUCUGCUAGCAGAACGUCUUCUCUACGGGCUUACAUGCCUGAACUUCCAGCCGGGGUAAACAAGUCGAAGUGUGCAUGAACAGAGCAGAUUCCUCUUCGUAAAUGAUUUGUGAACAUUUUUCUGCAGCUGCAUGCAAAUAUUUGGACAAUUUGGGGAAGACAUGUUGUUGAUUUUGGAAGCGAAGACGAGUAGCUGUAACCUAGUAAGCAGAAAAUAAGGGCAGCCUUUUGUCAGAUGGCAGGGAGUUUGUGCUAAUUAUCUUUGCUCCUCAUUAAAAAUACAUGAGACAGUUAUUUAAUAUGUAAACGUGAGCUAAGUAAGUAUUUAGAUUGUGCAGGCAGUUGAGUGGUUUUCCUCUCUUCUGCAAUGGAGGGAUAAUUUGCCCAGCAUACCUCCAGAUUUUUCCGUAAUGAUCAUCUGAGAGGACAUUAGUGUGCUCGUUUUUUCUGACUGCGUGUGUUUUUAUUUCAUAAUGUCUGCCAUUAAUCACUGUGGCAUAGAGAAGAUAUUCUCAGAGUUGGUUUCUGGACAUUUUCACGUUGUUUUCGUUCAGUUCUCUCUCUAAACAUGCUUCAUGAUUUGACAAAACGUUCUAGCUCCAGAUCUCCUCCAAUGUUGACCUGAGUGGUAGGGUUACAGUUAAAGGGAUAGUUCGUAUUUUUUGAAGGUGUUAUCAGUAACAGUUCAGAUAGAUGUCAUAUUGCAGAGAGUUUGUAGAAAGAUUAAUAAACCAGGUGUUAAUAAGUUAACUAUUGUUGAGUUUAUGUGUGUGAACGAUGACUGUUAUUACACUGGAGCGACGCAUAAAGCCACAGAUAUAUUCCAUGGCAGAUUUUAAAUUUAAUGUAAUUUGACUUCAAUCUGAUUAGGGUGAUGGUUAGGAGUCUCUCCAGACUUAAAAACUUGGAGCUCAUCGUAAAAAAUGGUCAAACAUACCAGUGGAAACAUAUGAAAAGCUGUUUGGUGGUUUAUUACUUGGUUCCAUUUGUUGUUAAAAUAUAAAAGUAGACACUUAUUUAUUUAGUUAUUUAUUCAUUGAUAUCCUUUGAAUGUUGUCUUCUUAAUAUUUCUGAAAAUACUUCUUGCAUUUUCAACUAUAAAUUGCAUUCUUGUUUGAAUAACAAUAAUUUAACAUUUAAAUCUGCCAGAGGUUCGAAUAUUAACAUUUCACAGUCUGAGUGAGUUUAAACAACACUGUGUCGUGACAUUAUUCUGCGUCUGCGAAGGGAAAUAUGAUCAGUAAUAACCUUUAAAAUAUAUUUAUAAAUCGUCCGUUUAAGUUUAUUUCUGACUCUGGUCUGCAGAGCAGCUGAACCUUUCAGUUUUAUUUUUGCAUUUCUGCCCAGAAAUUAUUUUAUAUCUGAAAGAUUUCCUGUUUUUUUCCCCCCUAAAUUAACUUCAUAUGUCUUUUGCUCCAACCAUAAACGACCAAAGUGAAUGUUGAAAUUUAAAUCCAAGCGCUCCCUGAUGUUUUUCUAUGUAUUAUAAAUACAUUAUUUCAAAGAUGUUAGAAGACAUGUUGUUGUAAAAAGUGGCUCAACAUGCGUGAAGGUAAAAGUUUGAGGCUGAUAAACGUCUGAAUUGAUUUUUCUGUUGGGUUUAUUUGUGUGCCGUGUUUCUGCAGAGCUGAUUUCAUCUCCACAGAUUCCUGCACAUGCUGCUUCCUGUGAAGCAUGACCCGGCUCCCCAUGAAGCGGGUAAUGAGUGCAGACUCCCUGCUGGGCCUGUUUUAAUGUGGAUGGCGGUGCCGGUCGGGUCCAGACAUGUGCGGGUGGAUCUGAGGCGUUGCCCGUUCUCUCUGAAGAUGUUAAAUUAGAUUUAAAUGAAAGUUUUGGCUCUGCCAGAACCUCUGUUCUGCCAAGAGUCAGACAUUGAGGUGGAAAAUGGUUUAAUUAAAAUAUUUCAGCAUC